GACACUGAGACAUAGCUCUGAGAGAGAAAACACGGAAAAAGAUAUGUCCUCAUUGCAAUUCAAAUCUGCUGUUACUUUCUUGCCACCCAGCUUUCUUUCCAAAGAUGUGUUUGAGCCACAGGGUCUGGGCUCACAUAGAAACUGCUAGCCUCCACACCCCCCUUCUCUUCUUCUGCUUCCUCCAACCGAGGUUAUUCAGCCUUAAAGGUUAGUUUCAGCUGAGAUUUUUGAUAGGUUUAUUGUUGCAGUUAAUUUCCAGCUGUGUACUUGAUGUCAUAUUCUCUUGCCACUGAAAUGAAAGAUGUCACAAAUUCAGCUCUGAAAGGAGCACUGAGAGUUGAAAACUCACUUGAACAUACAUUUCUUUAACAAAGAGCAAGAACAACCAGAAGAAAUGCAAAUAGAGGAAGAAUAAAGAAGGAUAAUCAUGCCCACUGGAGAAGCCUGCUGUUGAGAGACUGGAGAGGGACAGUUGCAAAAAGACCAGCUGGAAGCACUGUCUGCACCAAGUCCUUUCCUGCACGUGGAUUGCACUGCGCUGUAAGCUCUCCAAGACCUGCACAGGAGAAACAGAGACAGUGAUGAACCACUGAAAAGCAUCCUCUUGGUCUGGAGCAGAAGGGCAACAUUCUCCCAGUGGAAGGAUGAGUAUGGCAUUCCCUGCAAAUGCAACCAUUUUCCCGAUACAGGAGGCAAAGUUUUCUUCCAGUACAUCAGAUAUCAGCCUGCACAAAGAAUCACAGAAUCAUUUUGAUUGGAAGAGACUCUCAAGAUCAUCAAGUCCAACCGUUAACCUAACUCUGGCACUAAACCAUGUCCCUAAGAACUUCAUUGAUACAUCUUUGAAACAUCUCCAGAGAUGGUGAUUCAGCCACUUUCCUGGGCAGCCUGUUCCAAUGCCUGACAAACCUUUCUGUGAAGAAUUUUUUUCCUAAUAUCCAAUCCGAAGCCCUUGGGCACAACUUGAGGCCAUUUCCUCUCAUUCUAUCUCUUGCUACUUAGGAGAAAAGGCCAGCACCCUCCACGCUACAACCUCCUUUCAGAACUUACAGAAUUCUGUUGUUCACAAAAGCAUCAACAUUCAAGAGAGGUUUUGUCCUUCUUUCUGCUAUGUUCAACUUUCCUAAAAUAGCAAGUGUUCUUUUUCUAGCCAUCAGUGACCAUUAGACUACCCGUUUCUGUGCUGCUUUGACACACAGAACCAUCAGCUGAUACGUCUGAAUUUCACUAGAAAGAAAAUACACUGGAAAACCAGGGCAAAACUGUGACUGUCACUAGAAGUCUAGCCUGAGAAUCCCAACUUCUGACUUACACAUCUCCACCAACACGUGCCACUGCUUCAAGCCAUGAGGAUCUGAUGUAUUCAUUCCUCCACAAGGUCUUGUAUGUUUAUUACACUUGUGAUUUUCAUACAGGUAACAGUGGUAAUAAAGUUUGUUUUGUGCUGUGUUUUUUUCCUGUGUAAUUCAGAAAAAAAAAUAGAAAAUUGUGGCUGCAGUUCUUCAAUGGGAAGUCAGUCUAGUGCAUCACCCUAAAGGAGAUACCAUCUCCUUGCUGAUUAAAGCAAAUUCAAAAUGAAUUUCAAAUUAGCCUU